rnacentral:rRNA from 1 species
GCUUAACCGAAGAAGUGCAUCGGAAACUGGGUGACUUGAGUGCAGAAGAGGACAGUGGAACUCCAUGUGUAGCGGUGGAAUGCGUAGAUAUAUGGAAGAACACCAGUGGCGAAGGCGGCUGUCUGGUCUGCAACUGACGCUGAGGCUCGAAAGCAUGGGUAGCGAACAGGAUUAGAUACCCUGGUAGUCCAUGCCGUAAACGAUGAGUGCUAGGUGUUGGAGGGUUUCCGCCCUUCAGUGCCGGAGCUAACGCAUUAAGCACUCCGCCUGGGGAGUACGACCGCAAGGUUGAAACUCAAAGGAAUUGACGGGGGCCCGCACAAGCGGUGGAGCACGUGGUUUAAUUCGAAGCUACGCGAAGAACCUUACCAGGUCUUGACAUCUUGCGCUAACCUAAGAGAUUAGGCGUUCCCUUCGGGGACGCAAUGACAGGUGGUGCAUGGUCGUCGUCAGCUCGUGUCGUGAGAUGUUGGGUUAAGUCCCGCAACGAGCGCAACCCUUGUUACUAGUUGCCAGCAUUCAGUUGGGCACUCUAGUGAGACUGCCGGUGACAAACCGGAGGAAGGUGGGGACGACGUCAGAUCAUCAUGCCCCUUAUGACCUGGGCUACACACGUGCUACAAUGGUCGGUACAACG